rnacentral:rRNA from 1 species
GAUCAAGCUACAAAGGGCGCAUGGUGGAUGCCUUGGCACCAGGAGCCGAUGAAGGACGUGGUAAGCUGCGAAAAGCUGCGGGUAGCCGCAAACAGGCUGUGAUCCGCAGAUGUCCGAAUGGGGGAACCCGCAUGGCUAACGCCAUGCAUCCUUAGCUGAAUCCAUAGGCUAAGGAGGGCACACCC